rnacentral:rRNA from 1 species
CGCGGCCUAUCAGCUUGUUGGUGGGGUGAUGGCCUACCAAGGCGACGACGGGUAGCCGGCCUGAGAGGGCGACCGGCCACACUGGGACUGAGACACGGCCCAGACUCCUACGGGAGGCAGCAGUGGGGAAUAUUGCACAAUGGGCGGAAGCCUGAUGCAGCGACGCCGCGUGAGGGAUGACGGCCUUCGGGUUGUAAACCUCUUUCACCCAUGACGAAGCGUGAGUGACGGUAGUGGGAGAAGAAGCGCCGGCCAACUACGUGCCAGCAGCCGCGGUAAGACGUAGGGCGCGAGCGUUGUCCGGAUUUAUUGGGCGUAAAGAGCUCGUAGGCGGUUUGUUACGUCGUUCGUGAAAACUUGGGGCUCAACUCCAAGCUUGCGGUCGAUACGGGCAGGCUAGAGUUCGGUAGGGGAGACUGGAAUUCCUGGUGUAGCGGUGAAAUGCGCAGAUAUCAGGAGGAACACCGGUGGCGAAGGCGGGUCUCUGGGCCGAUACUGACGCUGAGGAGCGAAAGCGUGGGGAGCGAACAGGAUUAGAUACCCUGGUAGUCCACGCUGUAAACGUUGGGCGCUAGGUGUGGGGGGCCUCUCCGGUUCUCUGUGCCGCAGCUAACGCAUUAAGCGCCCCGCCUGGGGAGUACGGCGC